rnacentral:lncRNA from 1 species
CUCCAGUGCCCUGCAAACCCUCAAUGAAAGACACAGUCUGCUUUCAAAGAAUUAAAACGGCUCAACUUCAAAGAGUGGCGUUGCUUAGAGUCACCUGGUGCCACUGUCUCGGUGCCUCCUGUCUGGAGAGAGUCUGGGAGCCGCUGCUUACCACCAUCUCCUGCCCUCCUAACCCGUCGCUGGAUACAUUACGGAAUGGUGGCUGCUACAUGCAGUUUUAGAUCAAUCUACUAUAGUCAUGCUGCCCUGAGACCCAAAUAAUUCCUCUGUGAACUCUGGACACUCCGAAGGUAAAAAUCUCACUUGUUUAUCUUUUUAGAAAAUAGUUAUACUUGCGCCCCUUCUUCCACCCCAGCCCUGGACAACUCAUGUAAAAUCAACUGUGAGAGAAAUAAAAUGAGGAGUCAUUUUAUUAAAGAUCUAGGA